AACGGAAACUUCUAUUCCUGUUAUUUGACUGUUAGGUUUUCUGGGUUAAUCCUUUCUCUCAUGUCUUGCUUUUGCCCAUAAUUUUUAUUUCCUGAUCUCUAUUUGCUAUCUUUGUGGGAAGGAAACUGGGAUGAACUUUAUAUUCAUGGAAAGAUAAAGUUCCAUAGAAAUUUUUACUUUGCGUGCUCUAGCUUUAUUUAUUAAGAGCUCUUCUUUCCUCACUGAUUAAUAAAUUCUUGUUUUAUGGAUACAUUAUCUUCUCAUAUCUUUCCAAGGAUGUUAUGUUAAGGUUGUUUUAUGGAUGCAUUAUCUUCUCAUAUCUCUCCAAGGAUGACAUUUAGCACAAAUCCCUUCCUUUCCUUUCCCUUUCUCUUUCUCUUUCUCUCUCUUUCUUUCUUUCUUUUCUCCCUUUCUGGCUCUGUCUUUCUCUUUCUUCCUCCCUUUGUCUCUCCUUUUUAAAAAAUUAACCCAAACUUUGGCAUAUUGAGAAAUAAUGUGGGAAAAGAGGUAAGGCAGAUGAAAGACCAAGAAACCACUUUUAUUAAACAAUUGAAGAGUCAGGUAGAGGAUGCAGUUUAGUCUAAGAGUCCAGUGGGCCUGCAAACUCAACCCCAGAACUGGGAAACUUAGGCAGCCAAUCACGGGCAAUGCUGAACUGGGACAGGACUCCUCCCAUGGUACGACUGUUCUCACUGAGGGGUAGAAAAAAACAUGCUCUGUCUUGGAAAGACUCACUCCCAGGAGGAAAGGGUGGAGCUGAACUAAGUCUGACCGGUUCUUUCUCCCAGACUCACCUUUACUGCCCUGUGGGAGAGGCUAGUGGGAGGGUGGGCAAGGCCAGAGCGUGUCCUGCCUCCAUGUGGAGGGAGAUACGGGAAGCUGAAUUAGGUGAUGACGUCAGUCCAUGCUUCGGAAAUAGUUGUUUGCGAGGGAAGACGGCUCAACCAGCAAACACCUAAAGGGCUUUUGAAACUCUCUAAAUACAAGUUUUUAGAAACGACGAGGCAUUGAAAACUUACCACAUGACCUUGUGCAAGUUGCUUAACACCACUAAGCCGCCCUGUCUUCUCAGUUUUAAUCGGGGAUAAUAUUGCAUCCUCUUAAAGAGUUUUUUUGAGAGGAUUUGAUGAGAAACUAUGUAAGUCACUUAGUAUGCUGCCUGGAAUGUAGCAAGAACUUGAUCAAUGAUAAACUAUUAUGGAAGUUUUUUUGUUUUAUUUUUUUUAAUCUUUAUCAAUUAGUUGUGAUUCUUUGAUCCUGUACCCUUCAACUUCUUUUUUUUUUUUUUUUGAGACAGAGUCUCACACUGUCGCCCAGGCUGGAGUACAGUGGAGCGAUCUCGGCUCACCGCAACCUCCGCCUCCCGGGUUCACGUGAUUCUCCUGUCUCAGCCUCCCGAGUUCCCGAGUAGCUGGGAUUACAGGCACACGCCACCAUGCCUGGCUAAUUUUUGGUAUUUUUACUAGAGGCGGGGUUUCACGGUGUUGGCCAGACUGGCCUCGAACUCCUGACGUUGUGAUCCGCCCACCUCCACCUCCCAAAGUGCUGGGACCACAGGCGUGAGCCACUGCACCGGCCACCCUUCAACUUCUUUAAAAAGUCAUGUUGGUUUGGUUUCAUUUCAAACUAUUCUAUCCCUCUUUAAAGGUAUUUGAAUGUAGAACAUUGUUAAGAAAAUGAACGAGGAUCUUUUCUACAUGAGCGCCAUAUUCUAACAAACUUAUCAAACUGCACUGGUGUUAUGUGUGAUAAGCCACAAGUCUGGGAAUCCUGGCACUAGAGCUGUCCAAGGGCUGCUGCUGCUGGUAUAAGCAGCUGUGAAUCUCCAGGUGAUCUACUAGUGCCCCGCUCCCUAAAGGAGGGAGGUGCAGGAUUUUCUCUACUAAGGGAAAGCAGCCAGGAGAAACCAUCUUACUCUCCCUGGAGCAUUGGGAGAGCAUCAGGCGUGUUCCAUGGACAGUGAGAGCCAAUGAAAGCAUAAUCUACUCACUGCAUCCUGGGGAUCGCUGAGCUUAUGCCCUUGAGCUUCAUAGAUGGUGACUCCCAGAAUCUCUCUGCAAUGUCCUUGGAGAAUGGCUGUUGGGUGAUCGAUGAUGCAGGAACUUCACAGUUGUACAGAGCUGUGUAGUCCUCCCAGGGAGGUUCAGAGACUUGCAAUAGUCAAAGUACAUGACUUCUUGGAGAGUAAACGACAAUAACAUAAGAAUGUGUGAGGG
rnacentral:lncRNA from 1 species